UAAAAACGGAGCUGGAUCUGGUAUUGAUGAGAUCCGGUCCAGAUCCGGCCCGUUGCCAUCCCUAGUCUGGAUGUUCUUCGUGGAACAAGAAUUUGACAAUGGAUGUUGACAUUUCAUCAUGAGCAUUCUGUUCAAAACUAGAUUUGCAAUUUAACAAUAUGAGAAAUUUAGGAGGAAAAAUGAAAUUAGAGGCAACAACUUGAAAUUAGAGGCAC
rnacentral:lncRNA from 1 species